AGAAUCAACGCUGGCGGCGUGCCUAACACAUGCAAGUCGCACGAGAAAGGGUAGCAAUACCUGAGUACAGUGGCGCACGGGUGAGUAACACGUGAAUAAUCUACCUCCGAGUGGGGAAUAACUGAGAGAAAUCUUAGCUAAUACCGCAUAAUACCCACGGGUCAAAGCAGCAAUGCGCUUGGAGAGGAGUUCGCGGCAGAUUAGUUAGUUGGCGGGGUAAUGGCCCACCAAGACGAUGAUCU
rnacentral:rRNA from 1 species